AACAGGGAUUGCUUGCAAUCCGCUGACGACCGGCGCACGGGUGCGUAACGCGUAUGCAACCUACCUUUUACAAGGGGAUAGCCCAGAGAAAUUUGGAAUAAUACCCUAUACGAUCAUUAAUUGGCAUCAAUUAAUGAAGAAAACUCCGGUGGUAAAAGAUGGGCAUGCGUCCUAUUAGUUAGUUGGUAGGGUAACGGCUUACCAAGACUCCGAUAGGUAGGGGUCCUGAGAGGGAGAUCCCCCACACUGGUACUGAGACACGGACCAGACUCCUACGGGAGGCAGCAGUGAGGAAUAUUGGACGAUGGAGGCAACUCUGAUCCAGCCAUGCCGCGUGCAGGACGACGGCCCUACGGGUUGUAAACUGCUUUUAUACAGGAAGAACUAUAUCUACGUGUAGAUAUUUGACGGUACUGUACGAAUAAGGAUCGGCUAACUCCGUGCCAGCAGCCGCGGUAAUACGGAGGAUCCAAGCGUUAUCCGGAAUCAUUGGGUUCAAAGGGUCCGUAGGCGGUCUAAUAAGUCAGAGGUGAAAUCCUACAGCUCAACUGUAGCAUUGCCUUUGAUACUGUUAGACUUGAGUUAUUGUGAAGUAGUUAGAAUGUGUAGUGUAGCGGUGAAAUGCAUAGAUAUUACACAGAAUACGAUUGCGAAGGCAGACUACUAACAAUAUACUGACGCUGAGGGACGAAAGCGUGGGUAGCGAAACAGGAUUAGAAACCCUGGUAGUCCACGCCGUAAACGAUGGAUACUAGCUGUUCGAUCAAC
rnacentral:rRNA from 1 species